rnacentral:rRNA from 1 species
AUGUGGAAGAGAGACGACUGUGUGGAUAUUUAUCUCUGGUGUGGUUCCUUCCGUAUUCCUGUUCGUAUAGAGCUCAGAUCCAAGCAUUUGGGGUCCACUCGCAUCAAUCUAGAAGCACAGAUAAGGGCAGAUUUCUCACCGAUACAUCCCGGAUCCGGUAAAUUUACUUAUUCGCAGGAGGACGUGCACGGACGCGCCAGCGACGGUGCUGGCCGUGCUGGGAUCGGGGACGCCUCCUCUCAACGCCAAGUAGAAACCGGAUUCACCAAAGCCUCUCUACCGGGAUCGAAACGUUUUCCCACCUCCGGAGUACGUUAUAAUCACCUGCCUUUUCUGGCUAAUCACGGCCUCAAGUACUGUUUUAAACCACAGCUAGCAGCCUACAGCAUCAUUUAUUUGGCGCCAAGCCAGACUGAUGCAAAAUUACGGGGCUUAAUAGGCCUAGUGCCUACUGCCUAG